UGAAUGCUUUUUUACAGAAACAGCAAGCUCUCUGACAGCGGUAGUUACUGGAAGUGUUGGAGGAUCGCUGGUGUUGGUUACGAUUAUACUGAUUGUUGUGUUUUUUGUUCACAGACGAUACACAUGUAUCUUUAAAAUAGCAUUGGAAAAAAGAAAUAUAGAUAUAAAAGUUGACCCAAACAAAAAAACAUCGAACUAUACAACCAUAAAAG